GUAGGAGCAGGAGCCGCAACAGCAAAAGGGGAUCGCUAGCACCGUGAAAAACCAGCCAGCCCUAGCGUUGCACCGAUCGCGCCGCGGUGGCGACCUCCCCCCCAAUCCUCCCCGUCUCUCCCAGUCCAAUUCCAUCCUCAUCCGUCACCCACCGCCAUGGACGACAGCUCCUCUAGCCUCCCCCUCUCCACGCCGCCGCCGCCGCAGCCGCAGGUCUACCUAAGCCACCCCGUGCCGCCGCCCGCCCCUGCUCCUCCCAAGGUCCACUUCAUCCGCUUCUAAGGAAUGGAAUAUGCUUAUUCAAUCACCGACGACUACAGAUUGGUAUUGUCUCAGCAGCCAAAGAUGGUUGGAGUACAACAUGGGACUUCAGUAUUUUAGCCACUAAAGGUAGAUCUACCACCCUUCAGCAGGACGUUACCAAACACAAGGAACAAACAAAAGAUGUCAACAUCCAGCAAGUCCGGGGGGCGUACACCACUCGGAAACAUAACCAACACUACCGGUACAAGUA